rnacentral:rRNA from 1 species
AUUGAACGCUGGCGGCAUGCCUUACACAUGCAAGUCGAACGGCAGCACGGGAGCAAUCCUGGUGGCGAGUGGCGAACGGGUGAGUAAUAUAUCGGAACGUGCCCGGUCGUGGGGAUAACGUAGCGAAAGCUACGCUAAUACCGCAUACGAUCUACGGAUGAAAGCGGGGGAUCGCAAGACCUCGCGCGAUUGGAGCGGCCGAUAUCAGAUUAGGUAGUUGGUGAGGUAAAGGCUCACCAAGCCGACGAUCUGUAGCUGGUCUGAGAGGACGACCAGCCACACUGGGACUGAGACACGGCCAGACUCCUACGGGAGGCAGCAGUGGGGAAUUUUGGACAAUGGGCGCAAGCCUGAUCCAGCAAUGCCGCGUGCAGGAUGAAGGCCUCGGUUG